rnacentral:misc_RNA from 1 species
GUGAGUCAUCGAAUCUUUGAACGCAAAUGGCACUGUCGGGAUAGGCCUGACAGUACGCUUCUUUCAGAGUCGUUUCAACCACACCUCGGCGGCAUCUCUUCAUUGAGACUGCGCAGCUGGAGAUUGAGUCGGUCACCGAGUUAACUCUUUGGUGUCCCUUCAAAUGUGGCAAGGCUUCAGUGUAGUGCUCUUCGCGGACAGUAUUCCGAUUGUACUCGCUAGCGACGUGGAUACUCGAUCUCUUUUGGUCUUGAAUCCAAUACGUGGUUAGUGUUUAGGAAAGGAGUAUUGCGCCGUGUG